ACGAACGCUGGCGGCGUGCUUAACACAUGCAAGUCGAACGAAGAGCGAUGGAAGCUUGCUUCUAUCAAUCUUAGUGGCGAACGGGUGAGUAACGCGUAAUCAACCUGCCCUUCAGAGGGGGACAACAGUUGGAAACGACUGCUAAUACCGCAUACGAUCUAAACUCGGCAUCGAGGAUAGAUGAAAGGUGGCCUCUACAUGUAAGCUAUCACUGAAGGAGGGGAUUGCGUCUGAUUAGCUGGUUGGAGGGGUAACGGCCCACCAAGGCGAUGAUCAGUAGCCGGUCUGAGAGGAUGAACGGCCACAUUGGGACUGAGACACGGCCCAGACUCCUACGGGAGGCAGCAGUGGGGAAUCUUCCGCAAUGGACGAAAGUCUGACGGAGCAACGCCGCGUGAGUGAUGACGGCCUUCGGGUUGUAAAGCUCUGUUAAUCGGGACGAAAGGCCUUCUUGCGAAUAGUGAGAAGGAUUGACGGUACCGGAAUAGAAAGCCACGGCUAACUACGUG
rnacentral:rRNA from 1 species